AGAUAUAGGGUAUCAGGUAGCUCGGCCUACAGAAAACUGUUCUCAAUUUGCAAUUUUUGUUAGCCACAACAAUCUUUUCACAAACUGGAGCCGUAGCUAAUUUGUUAGUCAAGCAAACUCUUUUUUAGGCCUAUACAGAGGUGAAGGGGAGUUGAGGGGUGUAGUGAAGCUCGAGGUGGGGUCGAGCUGCCCCAGAGACCCCCUAACCUUAGCCCUUGGCUGCAAGAUCCGGUCGUCGGCAAUUUCACCACCCACUCUUGUUGCAGGCUUGAUCAGCUGAGAUGUCAUUAACCCGGAGCUCCUCUUCAGCCUCGAGUGGAACCGCUUCUCCUCCUAGCGAACAGGGUUCAGUUUCUGGUGAAGAACAUAUCUUCAACAGGGAUGGAUUUGCUGAGUUGGAGACCUGGGAGGACCCCACUCCUAGGCCAUCACCCUUUACUCUCAAGGAGCUGGGUGAUGCCUGGGUUGCUGCUGCAAAGCGCCAGCUCAUUCGCAGGCCCAAGACACCGCCCCGUGAGGAGCUGCUGAGGCGCAGCCAAGAGCAUAACCAGAAGAGUUUGAUAAUAGCGUUGAACGUCUAUGCCAAGUAAAACAGUAUGCAACCUACUGACCUCGAGGUAAUCAAAGUGAAAGCAAGAAACCUAAUCAUCGAGGGGGGAAAGGGAUACAUACACUUUAACUUUCUUGUGAAAAUGCAAGGUGACCCAUCUAGUUUGUUCUUUGCGGAGGUGCAUCCGGAUUGUAGAGAGGAGGAGGAUAUGUAUCUUUGCACCCCUUUGGAAGCUAAUGACUCGGGUAACUGUUAUGGGUGCAAGGACCGUGCAAAAGAGCUUUUGCAUCCCACUACCGGUGGCUACUUGGGUGGGCACAAAGAUGUUGUUUUCCCCUUCAUUUACGAAAGUGAUGAAGAAAGUGAAGAUGAGGCCUGAUUUCUCUUGGUUUCUUGCGUUAGUCUUAAUCUGAUGUGCUAGUGGGGUUGCGUACGACAAGAAAUAGUGUGGUGCUAGUUUGUGGCCGCAUCUAUUCCCCCCCCCCCCCCCUGCGUUGACUUUGAACUCAGUUCUUUGGUGGAUUGUACUCUGGGUAGAGAGAGCUGUCCUUAUGGUAAGGUGUUGCGAAGUUGCAAAAGAUUGAUUGAAAUUUCCUCUA